rnacentral:sRNA from 1 species
GAUGAGCGGUAUGGAUGACUUCUUACGACCGGAUCGAUUCGAUCGUAUUAUGCAAAUGACAAAACCAGAUCAAUUCAUUCAAGAGCAACAUUCAUGGAAUCCAGAAGAUCGAUCAUUGAACAUAUUCGUGAAAGACGAGGACAAAUUCACAUUCCACCGGCACCCUGUCGCACAAAGUACAGAUUGUAUUCGCGGAAAGAUGGGCUACAGCCGGGGAUUCCACGUAUGGCAAAUCGAAUGGCCUGAACGGCAGCGAGGAACACAUGCUGUGGUUGGAGUUGCGACGAAGAAUGCUCCACUACACGCUGCCGGAUAUACGGCAUUGAUUGGUACCACUGAUGAGAGUUAUGGAUGGGAUAUUAGUGAGUUUUUUUUGGUUUUUUUUUAAUAUUAAAUUUAAAAAAUUAUUAACUCUGUUAGGCCGGCGGUUGGAAAGGCUAAAAGUGAAAAAAAACAGCGUUUGUGUUUUUUUUUUCAUUUUAAAGUUUUUUACAGAAAAACAAGAUUAUUUUCGAAAAAUUUGUAAUUUUCAUCUUUUUUUCAGAAUUUUUCAGGAAAUUUGAUAGAUUUAUGCAAAUUUUUUGUGAUUUUGGGUCAAUUUUAAUGCUUUUUUUUUACUGAAAAAUCGAACUGCAAGAAAUUUGGGAUUUUUCAGCUUUUUCCUCAAUUUUUAACAUUUUUAACUGAAAAAUCGUAAAUUUAUUCAAUUUUCAAUUUUUUAAAUCAAUUUUUCUAAAUUAAACUGAAAAAAAAACCCGAUUUUUCUCAAUUUUUCACUGAAAAAACAAAAUGCUACGUUAAUCUUUUGUAAAAAUUAGUCUACCAAUUUUUUAAUCAAAUUUUUACGUGGAUAAAUUGAAUUUUAACCUGAAUUAUUGAAUUUUUCAGUUUUUUCACUGAAAAUCCAAUUUUUCCAGGAAAUUUGGUAAUUUUACAUCAUUUUCAGUGAUUUUUUAUAGAUUUUUCAAUUUUUAAACCGAGAAACCGAUUUUUUCCAGGAAACUAUAUAGUUUUAUCUGAAUUUUAUUUUAUUUAUUUUUUUUUUCCUAAAAAUAGCGAUUAAAAAGGCCCCGAGCAAGUGUGUCAUUUUUCGAUUUUCAAAAACCGAAAAAUCGAAAAAAAAAAAUGUUCAGAAAAUUAACCAUAAAGUAUAAUUUUUUUUCUAAUUUUGUUUAUAUUUUUAAGAAAAAACAUACGAAUUUUUUCAAAAAAGAAGAAUAAUGGCCAAAAUAUGAAGCAAAUUUUCAAAAAAUCGGAAAAUCGAAAAAAGGAAAAACGGAGUUUUUCAAUUUUUCGGUUUUCAAAAAAUCGAAAAACCAAAAAUUUUCGUUUUUUUGAUUUUCUAAAUCAAAUCGAAAAACCGACACCCUUAGCCCCCGAGUGAAGGUUUUGCAAGCCUACCGUGUGUGAUUCUAUGUCGAUUUACGAAGGAUUUUGUACUACACACGGACAAGUGCAAAAAAUGUGUUUUUUUUUUUGCAUGUUUUUGAAAACCUGCUGGAAUUUGACUGUUUCUGACUUUAUUUUUUGAAAAUUUUAAAAAUUAUUAAGUUAAUGGAUAUUAUGGAAAUCUACAGGAACAACAAGAUUUUUAGCGUUUGAAUAAUAAGUGCAUCAAAUUUAUUCUGAAAUGUUAGGUUUAAACGUUAAAUAAGCAAAAAGUGUUGUUUUAAAAAAAUUAAUACAAAAAAUUCGCAAAAAAAAUGGUCUAAAAGUCCUAAAGACGUGGAAAAAAUCAAUUCGCACUUGUCCACGUGUAGUACAAAAUUCUUGUCAAAUCAACGCGCGCCUUGCCUUAUAGGAAAAUGUAUUUUUCUCAACUUGAAAACCCAUUUUUUGAUUUUUUUUUUUUUUUGGUCGAAUUCCUAAAUUUCAAACAGUCUUUUUUUUCCAGCACGACGAGAAUGCCAUCACGAUUCGAAGCACACAAUGACAUGGAGGUAUCCGUUCAGUAAUAGUCGAGAUGUGUAUAAUGUUCCUGAUAAG